AGAUUCUUGAAUUUGAUGAUCUGACUCAUGUCAACUUCAUCGUCCUCCUCGUACGCAUGCGCUCUGCAACCUUAACCUAAGUACACUGUGAGGUGAGUUCCUUGGGUACACGCGGGAAUGGCUGCUGCAUCUGGCAUGCCAGAGGAGGAGACAGCGAUGUUUCCCGACAAAAGUGUCCAUCCCAGGUUGGAUGUCUACGUGUGGGACAUGGAUGAGACCCUUGUACUGCUCAACUCCUUGCUGAAAUCAUCAUACGCUGAGGCUUUCAAUGGUCUGAAGGAUGUGCAGAAGGGGGUGGAAAUCGGGAGGACAUGGGAAAAUCUCAUUCUACAAAUAUGUGAUGAUUAUUUCUUCUAUGAACAAAUUGAAAAUUACAAUAAGCCUUUUCUUGAUGCUCUGGCCCAAUAUGAUGAUGGGAGGGACCUAUCUGAUUAUGACUUCAACGAAGAUGAAUUAGUUUCCCCACAUGAUGAUGCCAACAAAAGAAAACUGGCAUAUAGGCAUCGAGUCAUUGCCCAAAAGUACUUACAGGGUUUACGGAAUAUUUUAGAUAAUAAGACAAUAAAACUUUGGGAUGAAUUGUAUGAUAAAACUGAUGAAUAAACUGACAGGUGGCUUUCAUCAGCACGGACCUUUUUGAAGGAGUGUUCGGGUGAAGAUAAAGAUGCAGUUUAUUCUAUUGCUUUUGCUAACACCAGCUCAAACUCAACUAAUGCAAAGCAUGUAAAUGUUUUAGUGACAUCUGGAUCGUUAGUUCCCUCACUUGUGAAAUGCAUGCUCUUUCAUCUGGACAGCUUAAUAACGCAUGGAAAUGUUUAUAGCUCAUGGGAAGUGGGGAAAAUUCAAUGUUUCCGAUGGAUCAAGGAGCGUUUCAACCAUCCCAAUGUUCGCUUUUGUGUAAUUGGAGAUGGAUGGGAAGAGUGUGAGGCUGCAGAAAUCAUGAGAUGGCCAUUUGUUAAGAUUGAUCCACGGCCUGGAAAACUUCACAGGUUCCCUGGUCUCACUUUGACAACAAUUAGCCACUACUUUUCUGUCGUGUAUGGAAGGCCGGACAACGAGAAUGGUGAAGAAUGAUGCAAGAUCUUCAUGUCAUCUACACUUUUCUGGGAUACCUAUCUGUAACAAUAAUAUAAAAUGAAUGCAGCAACAUGCCCAGCAAUUUUAUUGCCAAGUGUAUGCAUUGCUUCCAUGAGAUAGCUAUCAAUAUCAGGUGCCAAUUGCUUUUGAAGAAAUUAGGUGGAGCUAUUUUUCUAUGGAAUGCAUGAUCAUAACUUUAUGUUGCAGAAAUGUAUGUAGAUCAUUCACCAGUUAUAAUGUACAUAAGAUGUUUAAAAUUCAUCUGUGUUCCUUCUGUAGGGCCCUCAGCCCAUUAUUAUGUAUGUCCUUUCUAUGCUUAUUUGGCAGUAGGAACUGCAAAUUUGAAGCCACACAUGGCUAA